AGUCGAGCGAGGUAGCAAUACCUAGCGGCAGACGGGUGAGUAACAUGUGGGAAUCUGCCUUUUGGUUCGGAACAACACGGGGAAACUUGUGCUAAUACCGGAUAAGCCCUUACGGGGAAAGUUUUAAUGCCAAAAGAUGAGCCCGCACUUGAUUAGCUAGUUGGUGAGGUAAAGGCUCACCAAGGCGACGAUCCGUAGCUGGUUUGAGAGGACGACCAGCCACACUGGGACUGAGACACGGCCCAGACUCC
rnacentral:rRNA from 1 species